CUGGAAGGUCCUUCCUUGCGUCCGCUAUGGUGGUGGUUGCGGUGGCAGUGGUGGUGGUGGUGCGGCCAAGCCUGAGAGAGAAGGAAGUGUGGGAGCAUUUGACCGAGCUCGACCCUCUCUUUCUAUAACUAGAGGGAGAAGGCGACGGACGACGUCCUUGGAUUUGGGGGCUGCCGAGUUGGUGGCAAGCAGCGAGGGGGGCAGCAGGGCUGAGAGAGAGAGAGGGUCUCUGGCUGCUUUGGGGUCCAGAAGAAAGCGGAACAGAGAACGGGCAAAUGGGAUGGGAGAAAAUUAUUAAGGGGUGCUGCUAAAACUCCGCCUACGCCGAGCUUUUCGGUGGCUGAACAAAAUCCCGGUUUCCAUGGUCUCCGCCUGUUCCGCCUCCGUCUCCGCCGUAGCAGCUUUGGGUUUCACCAUUCGCCCUUCCAAACCAAUUUGAUUUUCCCCUGAGCCGGGGUGUGACAGUUAUUACAGUUGAUACUUAUAAUGUUCAAACAGUGCGGUUAGGGUUAGGGUUAAAUUGUACGGUCCGGCCAGUCCGGUAUGGUUCACCUUAGAGGUAGAUUUUUUUAGUUAAAUUUUUUUUUCUUUUUUGGUCUUUUUUGUUGUCUUUGUCUUUGUCUUAUGUAGCCUCCACGUGCCAAUGAGGGCUGAUGGAUAUAAACUGAUUGCGGGUUUUUUGGAUUUCUAAGGGUCAGAGCGUCACUUCACCAUCCUCUAUGUUUAGGCGUUCAGGUCACAAAAUUAAGGAAUAUUCAUUUCUCCUUGUAUAGGAAGAGGGUUUCUUGAAAGGCAAUGUGGCUCUUGUACCGGUGUGGGAAUCAAUGAAAGCACAUAUAAAAACAUCAAAUGAAUGAAAUUUUCAUCUUUCAUGAGAAGUGAGGUGGUCAUUUCUUCCACC